rnacentral:rRNA from 1 species
AAGAAAAUCGAAUUUUCUUAGUAGCGGCGAGCGAAAAGGAAAGAGCCCAAACCAGAAAUUUAUUUCUG